rnacentral:tRNA from 1 species
GGGGACUUAGCUCAGCUGGGAGAGCGCCUGCCUUGCACGCAGGAGGUCAGGGGUUCGAUCCUUCUAGUCUCCACCA